AUACGGGGGGUGCAAGCGUUAAUCGGAAUUACUGGGCGUAAAGCGCGCGUAGGCGGUUUGCUCAGUCGGAUGUGAAAGCCCAGGGCUCAACCUUGGAACUGCAUACGAUACUGGCAAACUCGAGUGUGAGAGAGGAUAGUGGAAUUUCCGGUGUAGCGGUGAAAUGCGUAGAUAUCGGAAGGAACAUCAGUGGCGAAGGCGACUGUCUGGCUCAACACUGACGCUGAGGUGCGAAAGCGUGGGUAGCAAACAGGAUUAGAAACCCUAGUAGUCC
rnacentral:rRNA from 1 species